ACUCUAAUAGUUUAUUAAAAACAUUGGUCUUGCACUCAAAAUAAAAAUCGCAUUUUUUCCCAACCUCCC
rnacentral:tRNA from 1 species